rnacentral:rRNA from 1 species
UACGGGGGGGGGCAAGCGUUGUUCGGAAUUACUGGGCGUAAAGGGCUCGUAGGCGGCCAACUAAGUCGGACGUGAAAUCCCCAGGCUCAACCUGGGAACUGCGUCCGAUACUGGAUGGCUUGAAUCCGGGAGAGGGAUGCAGAAUUCCAGGUGUAGCGGUGAAAUGCGUAGAUAUCUGGAGGAAUACCGGUGGCGAAGGCGGCAUCCUGGACCAACACUGACGCUGAGGAGCGAAAGCCAGGGGAGCAAACGGG